UGGCUCAGAACGAACGCUGGCGGCGCGUCUAAGCAUGCAAGUCGAACGGCAAGAGGUAGCAAUACCUCCUAGAGUGGCGGACUGGUGAGUAACACGUGGGUGACAUACCCUUCAGAUGGGGAUAGCUGUUAGAAAUAGUAGAUAAUACCGAAUACGAGCACAGGGGUUAGAGAUCUGUGAGGAAAGGAGCUAAGGCUCCGCUGAAGGAAUGGCCUGCGGCCCAUUAGCUAGUUGGUGAGGUAAGAGCCCACCAAGGCGAUGAUGGGUAUCCGGCCUUAGAGGGUGAACGGACACAUUGGGACUGAGAUACGGCCCAGACUCCUACGGGAGGCAGCAGCUAAGAAUAUUCCGCAAUGGACGAAAGUCUGACGGAGCGACGCCGCGUGGAUGAAGAAGGCCGGAAGGUUGUAAAAAUCCUUUUGAAACUGAAGAAUAAGCGUUGUAGGGAAUGACAGCGUGGUGACAGUAGGUUUUGAAUAAGCAACGGCUAAUUACGUGCCAGCAGCCGC
rnacentral:rRNA from 1 species